rnacentral:rRNA from 1 species
UACGAAGGGUGCAAGCGUUACUCGGAAUUACUGGGCGUAAAGCGUGCGUAGGUGGUUUGUUAAGUCUGGUGUGAAAGCCCUGGGCUCAACCUGGGAAUGGCAUUGGAUACUGGCGAGCUAGAGUGCGGUAGAGGGUAGUGGAAUUCCCGGUGUAGCAGUGAAAUGCGUAGAGAUCGGGAGGAACAUCUGUGGCGAAGGCGACUACCUGGACCAGCACUGACACUGAGGCACGAAAGCGUGGGGAGCAAACAGG